rnacentral:rRNA from 1 species
UACGAAGGGGGCUAGCGUUGCUCGGAAUUACUGGGCGUAAAGCGCACGUAGGCGGUCUUUUAAGUCGGGGGUGAAAUCCUGGAGCUCAACUCCAGAACUGCCUUCGAUACUGGAGGACUCGAGUCCGGGAGAGGUGAGUGGAACUGCGAGUGUAGAGGUGAAAUUCGUAGAUAUUCGCAAGAACACCAGUGGCGAAGGCGGCUCACUGGCCCGGUACUGACGCUGAGGUGCGAAAGCGUGGGGAGCAAACAGG